UACGGAGGGGGCGAGCGUUGUUCGGAAUUACUGGGCGUAAAGGGAGCGUAGGCGGCUUUGUGAGUCGGGCGUGAAAGCCCCGGGCUUAACCUGGGAACUGCGUUCGAUACUGCGAGGCUUGAGGACGGGAGAGGAGUGUGGAAUUCCCAGUGGAGAGGUGAAAUUCGUAGAGAUUGGGAAGAACACCGGUGGCGAAGGCGGCACUCUGGACCGUUACUGACGCUGAGGCUCGAAAGCGUGGGGAGCAAACAGG
rnacentral:rRNA from 1 species